rnacentral:rRNA from 1 species
GAUGAACGCUGGCGGCGUGCUUAACACAUGCAAGUCGAACGGAAAGGCCCAAGCUUGCUUGGGUACUCGAGUGGCGAACGGGUGAGUAACACGUGGGUGAUCUGCCCUGCACUUCGGGAUAAGCCUGGGAAACUGGGUCUAAUACUGGAUAGGCCCACUUCUUGGAUGUUGUGGUGGAAAGUUUUUUCGGUGUGGGAUGAGCUCGCGGCCUAUCAGCUUGUUGGUGGGGUAAUGUCCUACCAAGGCGUCGACGGGUAGCCGGCCUGAGAGGGUGUACGGCCACAUUGGGACUGAGAUACGGCCCAGACUCCUACGGGAGGCAGCAGUGGGGAAUAUUGCACAAUGGGCGCAAGCCUGAUGCAGCGAUGCCGCGUGGGGGAUGACGGCCUUCGGGUUGUAAACUCCUUUCGCUAGGGACGAAGCGUUUUGUGACGGUACCUGGAGAAGAAGCACCGGCUAACUACGUG